rnacentral:rRNA from 1 species
UCUUUAUGGGGUGACUGCGUACCUUUUGUAUAAUGGGUCAGCGACUUAUAUUCUGUAGCAAGGUUAACCGAAUAGGGGAGCCGAAGGGAAACCGAGUCUUAACUGGGCGUUAAGUUGCAGGGUAUAGACCCGAAACCCGGUGAUCUAGCCAUGGGCAGGUUGAAGGUUGGGUAACACUAACUGGAGGACCGAACCGACUAAUGUUGAAAAAUUAGCGGAUGACUUGUGGCUGGGGGUGAAAGGCCAAUCAAACCGGGAGAUAGCUGGUUCUCCCCGAAAGCUAUUUAGGUAGCGCCUCGUGAAUUCAUCUCCGGGGGUAGAGCACUGUUUCGGCAAGGGGGUCAUCCCGACUUACCAACCCGAUGCAAACUGCGAAUACCGGAGAAUGUUAUCACGGGAGACACACGGCGGGUGCUAACGUCCGUCGUGAAGAGGGAAACAACCCAGACCGCCAGCUAAGGUCCCAAAGUCAUGGUUAAGUGGGAAACGAUGUGGGAAGGCCCAGACAGCCAGGAUGUUGGCUUAGAAGCAGCCAUCAUUUAAAGAAAGCGUAAUAGCUCACUGGUC